rnacentral:rRNA from 1 species
UACAGAGGGUGCAAGCGUUGUUCGGAAUUAUUGGGCGUAAAGGGCGCGUAGGCGGUACGUCAAGUUGACUGUGAAAGCCCGGGGCUCAACCUCGGAAGUGCAGCCAAAACUGACGCACUAGAGUUCCGCAGAGGAUGGUAGAAUUCCCAGUGUAGAGGUGAAAUUCGUAGAUAUUGGGAGGAAUACCAGUGGCGAAGGCGACCAUCUGGACGGAAACUGACGCUGAGGCGCGAAAGCGUGGGUAGCAAACAGG